CCUCUUGUGUGAUUUGUGCGUGAAAGGGCGUUAGCACUUUUACGGAGAUAUCGCGCGACUGACUAUGGUAAAUAGUCGGAAGUUGGAGGCAAUAACAGGUCUGUGAUGCCCUUAGAUGUUCUGGGCUGCACGCGCGCUACACUGACGCAGGCAGCGAGUUUGGCUUUUUUGAGAAAAACGGCAAAUCUUGUAAACUGCGUCGUGCUGGGGAUAGAUUAUUGCAAUUAUUAGUCUUGAACGAGGAAUUCCUAGUAAGCGCAAGUCAUCAGCUUGCGUUGAUUACGUCCCUGCCCUUUGUACACACCGCCCGUCGCUACUACCGAUUGAAUGGCUUAGUGAGGUCUUUUGAGUUUUAAAAAGCGCCGCAAGGUGCUUUUUGAGGCAAUAUUGAACAAACUUGGUCAUUUAGAGGAAGUAAAAGUCG
rnacentral:rRNA from 1 species